GAUGAAGAACGUAGCGAAAUGCGAUAAGUAAUGUGAAUUGCAGAAUUCAGUGAAUCAUCGAAUCUUUGAACGCACAUUGCGCCCGCUAGUAUUCUGGCGGGCAUGCCUGUCCGAGCGUCAUUUCAACCCUCAAGCCCCCGGGCUUGGUGUUGGGGAUCGGCGAGCCUCCGCGCCCGCCGUCCCCUAAAUCUAGUGGCGGACCCGUCGUGGCCUCCCCUGCGAAGUAGUGAUAUUCCGCAUAGGAGAGCGACGAGCCCCUGCCGUUAAACCCCCAACUUUCUCAGGUUGACCUCAGAUCAGGUAGGAAUACCCGCUGAACUUAAGCAUAUCAAUAAGCGGAGGA
rnacentral:misc_RNA from 1 species